CAUUGUUUGGUAUUUAUGGUUGUUGGUAUCAACAGUAGCAUCAAAUUUACCAUCGGAUGGUUUCCAACUAAAACUGCAACUGCAAGCAAUCUUUAUCCAAUUUUUUGGGAAUCUGUAGGACAUCUAGAAACGUUUUGUAAUCUAAAGGUAAUUGCUCUUACAUCUGACAAGGCCUCCUCAAAUAUGAGAUUUAUAUCUCUUCAUGGACCAGAUGUUCAUAAAACAACCAACUUAUUUGCUCCUGAAAGAGAAAUAUAUUUCUUUUCUGAUGCUCCUCAUCUUCUUAAAACUAAGAAAUAACUUAGCUGCCUCUGGUAGUAAUCAGAACAGUCGAUUAUUGUGGAAGAACAACCAAAAUCUUUUAUGGAAACAUGUGGCAGAUGUAUAUGAAAGAGAUAUGGCUCAUGAGUUGAGCAAGGUUACAAAACUUACCUACAAUCACAUUCAUUUAACAUCAUUUUCUGUUAUGAAAGUGAAUUUUGCUGCCCAGGUCUUUAGUCGUUCUGUUGGCAAGGUGAUCGAAGAAUUUGGUGGAGAAGAGGCCCAGGAAACUGCUAAGUUUAUUCUGUUAAUUGAUCGUUUCUUUGAUAGUUUGAAUGUAAGAUCAAAGUUUGAAGGACAGAGAAAAAGAAAAACAGAUCUAAUGCCAUACGAAAGUAUUGAUGAUCCCAGGUUCAAGUUUCUUAUUGAUGACUUCUUGGGAUAUCUAGAAGACUGGAAAAAGCAGGUCGAUGAUCGAGCAGAAUUUAGUAAAAUUGAAAAGUCCAAAAUGUUCCCAACUCACCAAACCUACAAGGGAUUAGUAAUUAUAGUUAAAUCAGUUGUGGAAGCAAUAAAGUUUCUCCUUUAGAAUGGGGUCAGUUUUGUUUUGACAAACAAAUUUUGUCAAGACCCACUCGAAGAACAUUUUGGCAGACAUAGGGCCCUGGGAAGGCGAAAUGAUAACCCAACAGUCUAUGAAUUUGGUUACCAGGAAAAUAAACUUCGCCUUCAGCGCUGUCUCUCUCUCCAACUUCAUCCACGUGGGAACAUCAGGACAAGGAAAGCAGCAAUUGAUCUUGAUGAAACACCUUUGAAAAAGAGAAGACAAACGACCCAGAAAUAAUUUCUAUCUGUCUGUCCGUAUGCCUGCCUGUCUGUUUUAUUGAAUUGGUAACUUCACAAAAUGAAUUAUUGCUGAUCAAAUGUAAUUUCUCAAAAGUCAAGAUGCUGUUAUGUAAUAGAGCGAACUCUGUUUGUAGGUUAAGCAGAGCGAUAAGCAAUUUGAUUGGUCGGGACUUUGGAGCUCGAUAACUUUGAUUCUAAUUGAGUGAGUGAAACGUAUAGUUUCAUUACAUCAUUAUCUUAUCAAGGUUCGAUGCUGAGCAUUUUCUGCUUAGGCAAAGUUAAGACUUCGAUCUGAUUGUUCAAGACUUUGGAACACAAUAUCUCUCCUUCUAAUUGAGGUAGAAUGUUCAAAUUUGGUGCAGGUGUAUAUUAGGUGAAUGCCUUGACAGAGUUCGAUCAUGCGCAUUUUCCACUAAGUUCAAUGAUGAGAAUUUUCUGCUUAGACUAAGUAGCGAUAAGCAACUCAAUGAAACUGAGUGUAUAGUUUAACUACCAGGUACUUCAAAACCUUGACCGAGUCUUGAUUGAUAAAGACUUUGGAAUACAACAACUCUCCUUCAAAUUGAGGUAGAAUUUCAAAUUUGGUGUACAUUGUAGGUUUUUAUUAGGUGAAUGCCUUGAAAGUUUGAUCAUGUAUAUUUUCCACUAAGUUCGAUGAUGAGAAUUUUCUGCUUAGACUAAGUAGCGAUAAGCAACGCGAUGAAACUUAGUGUAUAGUUUCACUUCCAGGUACUUCAAAUCCUUGACUGAGUUCAAUCUGAACAUCUUCUGCUUAGACUAAGUAUAGAUGAUUGGUUUGAUUGCUCAAUACAUUUUAAAAAGAUAAAUAUGCAAUUAAAGAUACAUUAUGGAAGAUUAGAUAAAGAGCUGACAGUUCUCACUCUAACAGUUAAAUAAUAGAUAAUGUAACAGGAAUAUUCUGAAAAUUUCAGUCAAAUUACUUCACACUAAGCCAAGAAAUACUCAUUUAAAAACCUUUUUGAUUGUCAUAGGCUCAUAGGCAGAUUUAGCUCUUGCAUAAUGUAUGUUUAGUAAAUGGUAUGUGUCAUCUAUUUAUUUUAAGAUGUCGGUGGGGGACAGCCUCAUUAUUGGCUUGUUGUCCCCCGCCUUUCGAAGAAAGCAGGGGACUAUUAAAAUGGGUUCGUCCGUCUGUCUGUCUGUCCGUCACACAUUUUGGGACACAAUAACUCUCUUUCUAAUUGAGCUAGAAUAAUCAAACUUGGUGUAGGUGUUUAUUAGGUCAAUGCCUUGAUGGAGUUCGAAGAUGAGCAUUUUCUGCUUAGGGUAAGCAGAGAUAAGCAAUUUGAUUGGUUGAUGCUUUGGGACACAAUAACUUUAGUUCUAUUUAAAGUAGCUAAGUCUCUAACUCAAUAUCAUCCAAAAUCUUCGACAUUGAAAACACAAUUUAUUUGUCAGUUUAAAUCAAAAUCAACAUUGAUGUUGUGAUCUUACCGGGAAAAGAUGGCCUUCUGAUAUCUAAUAUUUAAGACAAAAUAAACAUUUUACAAUUUGUACACGAAUCGUGUACCAUAAUGCGGUUUCAGCGCUAUGUGUAAUAAGGGACUCGAAAAACGAGGCUAGGCAUAUUCCACAAGUCAUGUCAAACGGUAACGCUAUAUUCUUAUCUGGAGAGCAUGCCCAAUAAAUACUAUCGGCGUAGACUGGAAUAACCAGAAGCUAGAGAUUGCAAUUCGAUUGAGAAUACUGGCGUAUGUCGCCGAACCUAACUAAUUAGAAAUUACAGUAAAAACAGAAACGAUUGAAUGUAAAUCAAUUUAUAUACAUUCAUAUUACAUUAUUGUAUGUGUUGCGACCCAUUUGUGUCAAUUUCUAGGUCCCAAAUAUUAGCGACUUAGCUCCUUUAAGUGUGAGUGAUGAAACUUUCUAAUUGAGCUAAAAUGUUCAAACUUGGUGUAGGUGUUUAUUAGGUCAAUGCCUUGAUGGAGUUUGAUAAUGGGCAUUUUCUGCUCAGGGUAAACAGAGUUGAUUGGUCGAGACUUUGGAACACAAUAACUCUCAUUUUAAUUGAGUUAGAAUGUUCACACUUGGUGUAGGUGUCAAUUAGGUGAAUGUCUUGAUGGAGUUUAAAGAUGGGAAUUUUCUGCUUAGGGUAAGCAGAGAUAAGCAGUUUGAUUGUUUGAUGCUUUGGGACACGAUAACUUUAGUUCUAAUUAAGUGGUGAGGACACUUGGUGUAUAGCUUUAUUACAUCAAUACCUUGACUAAGUUCGAUAAUGAACAUUUUUUGCUGAGGGUAAGCAGAGUGAUAAGCAAUUUGAUUGGUCUAGACUUUGGAACACAAUAACUCCCCUUCUAAUUGAGGUAGAAUGUUCAAACUUGGCGUAGGUGUCUAUUAGGUGAAUGUUUAAACUUGAUGUAGAUGUUCAUUAGGUGAAUGUCUUGACUGAGUUCAAUGAUUAACAUUUCGAGCUGAAGCCAAGCAGAGCUAAUUGAUUUCAUUUGUCGAUGGUUUGGGACAAGAUAAUCUUGAUUCUAUCUGAUAGAGAGUGAUGAAACUUAGUGAAAAUAAUAAAUGUGCAAUAAAAUAUGUGUCAUCUAUUUAUUUUGCAAUUUCGGUGGGGGACAUCAGCCUCACUGUUGGCUUGUUCUAAUCAAGUUAGAGAGAAAACACUUGGUGUAUAGCUUUAUUACAUCAAUACCUUGACUAAGUUCGAUAAUGAACAUUUUCUGUUGAGGGUAAGCAGAGCGAUAAGCAAUUUCAUUGGUCGAGACUUUGGAUCACAAUAACUCUCCUUCUCAUUGAGGUAGAAUGUUCGAAAUUGGUGUAGGCUUUCAUUAGGUGAACGCCUUGACAGAGUUCGAUGAUGAACAUUGUCUGCUGAACAUUGUCUGCUUACGGUAAGCAGAGAUAAACAAUCUGAUUGGUUGAUGCUUUGGGGCACGAUAACUUUGGUUAUAAUGAAGUGAGAGCAAUGAAACUCCGAAUAUAGAUUCAUUAUAUCAUUAUCUUGACAAAGUUCGAUGGUGAGAAUUUUCUGAUUAGGCUAAGAAGCGAUAAGCAAUUUGAUUGGUCAAGACUUUGAAUCAUAACAACUCUGCUUUUAAUUGAAGUAGAAUGUUUAAACUUGAUGUAGAUGUUUAUUAGGCGAAUGUCUUGACUGAGUUCAAUGAUUAACAUUUCGUGCUGAAGCUAAGCAGAGCUAAUCGAUUUCAUUGGUCGAUGCUUUGGAUCGUUCGGAUGGGACGAAAAAACCGAGGUCUGGCGUGCACGUAAAAGAUCCCUUGGCAGUUGGAAUUCUAUAUAAGAGAAGGCCGUAGCGCCGCUGCCCAGGCAAAAUUUCCCUCAUAGCACACUGUAUGGCGUAUGCCCGUCUUCAUUAGCCCAGGUUAGGAGCAGAACAGUAGGACGUUAAACCCCAUUUCAUUUCAUUUCGAUGCUUUGGGACAAGAUAAUCUUGAUUCCAUCUGAUCGAGCGUGAUGAAACUUAGUGUAUAGUUUGAUUGCUUAAUACUUUUGAAAAAAAUAAAUGUGCGAUUAAUAUGUGUCAUCUAUUUUUUUUGGUUUUCGGCGGGGGACACCAGCCUCACUGUUGGCUUGGGUUUUUUUUAUGAUCGAAUAGAAUACCAUUUUUGAAUGUAUAAAAUUUAUAGCCGAAAAAUCUGCCUUUUGUUUUUUGUACUUGCAAUUAGCAUUGUUCAUGAUCGAUAGAAUUCCAUUUUUGAAUGUAUAAAAUUUAUAGCCGAAAAAUCUGCCUUAUGUUUUUUGUACUUGCAAUUAGCAUUGUUCAUUCCGAAUUUGAUGCAUAACUAAGACAAUUUGACUUUAGUUAUCAUCAGCACCCUUUAUUAUCAGGCUUUUGGGCCUGGAACAUGGAUGGUAAAUACAAUUUUUUUGGAUGAUUAAAAAUAGUUCAUCACCCCAAAUAACAAAAAUGGACAUAUCUUAUGAACAAAACUUACAGUGCUAGCUUUAAAAUGUGCACUUUAGAGUACUCAACGCCCUUAAAUUGUAUUUAUCAUGAAAAUGAAUAUUAAUUACUGUACAAAUGUACAAUGUUUAACAUUUUUCUAACAUGGGGUUUGAAUGAAACAUCUAUUUUGUCAUCUUUUUUAA